CCUGAGAAACCCAAAAGAUCGAAUGGGGAGAUUCAUCGUCAGCGUGGCUGGCUUCCGUGCGGUUCGCGAUGGCCGGGACCUAGUCUUGGGUCACGCGUCCGCUGCGGUAUGUCCGAUCACGUCGGCGUGCACUUCUCCCCUAGUAGGACGUCGCGACCCGUUGGGUGUCGGACCGAUGGCCGUUUGGUCGCCUGUCUCGUCGCGUUCACGCGNGNACGUGGCAGACCGAAAUGGCCGAGCGUCCGGCUGCCCGGCGGUAUAGAACGCUAUUGAACGGUAAUGAGCCGCAUUAAGUGCGUUCAGGCUCGUCGGCAGGCUCGUCUCGCCCGGAUUUACGGACCUAGCGCCGUUGCCGGGUGCUUGGCGUGGCUGUUAGUCGACGAUGUCCUCGGACUGGCUCUAAAAUUCGAAAGGAUUACCGGUCGGCGACGCUACUGCUUUGGGUACUUUC
rnacentral:rRNA from 1 species